rnacentral:rRNA from 1 species
AGCGAACGCUGGCGGCAGGCUUAACACAUGCAAGUCGAACGGGCACUUCGGUGCUAGUGGCAGACGGGUGAGUAACGCGUGGGAACGUGCCUUUCGGUUCGGAAUAAUCCAGGGAAACUUGGACUAAUACCGGAUACGCCCUUCGGGGGAAAGAUUUAUCGCCGAAAGAUCGGCCCGCGUCUGAUUAGCUAGUUGGUGAGGUAAAGGCUCACCAAGGCGACGAUCAGUAGCUGGUCUGAGAGGAUGAUCAGCCACAUUGGGACUGAGACACGGCCCAAACUCCUACGGGAGGCAGCAGUGGGGAAUAUUGGACAAUGGGCGCAAGCCUGAUCCAGCCAUGCCGCGUGAGUGAUGAAGGCCUUAGGGUUGUAAAGCUCUUUUGUCUGGGGCGAAAACCAGCUAUUCUUAGCUAUUCGACAGUACCAGAGGAAUAAGCACCGGCUAACUCCGUGCCAG